rnacentral:tRNA from 1 species
GCGGGAAUAGCUCAGUGGUAGAGCAUCGCCUUGCCAAGGCGAGGGUCGCGGGUUCGAAUCCCGUUUCCCGCU